rnacentral:rRNA from 1 species
GCGCACCAGGCGAGAAUCUUCCACAAUGGGGAAACCCUGAUGGAGCGACGCCGCGUGCGGGAUGAAGGCCCUAUGGGUUGUAAACCGCUGUUCAGUGGGAAGAACAUCCUCCGGCUGAAUAGGUCGGAGGCCUGACGUUACCACUGCAGAAAGUCCCGGCCAACUCCGUGCCAGCAGCCGCGGUAAUACGGGGGGACGGAGCGUUGUCCGGAAUCAUUGGGCGGUAAAAGGGCGCGUAGGCGGCGAGGAAAGUCGAAUGUGAAAUCUUGCGGCGUCAACUAGC